rnacentral:rRNA from 1 species
ACAUGAAAUUACUAGCCUACAAAGUGUCAGAGCGCGAUUAAGCGUGAUGGCGUGCGUUUUGAAGUAUGAGCCGGAGAGUUAUUGCAAGUUGCGAAGUUAAGCUGUGGAACAGUGGAGCUGAAGCGAAAGCGAGUCUUAAUAGGGCGUUUAGUAGGUUGCAAUAGACCCGAAAGGGGACGAGCUAGCCAUGAGCAGGUUGAAAUUUGAAUAACAUCAGAUGAAGGACUGAACCGACUGUCGUUGAAAUGAUAGCGGAUGACUUGUGGCUAGAGGUGAAAUUCCAAUCGAGUUCCCUGAUAGCUGGUUUUUGUCGAUAUAGUUUUAGGACUAGCGUCAAGUAAAUUUGCAGUUGGAGGUAAAGCACUGAAUCUAUACGGGCGGUUCGCGCUGUACCAAAUAGAAUCAAACUCUGAAUUCCAAUUGUUGUACCUUGGCAGUGAGACUAUUUGGGAUAAGCUUUAUAGUCGUGAGGGGAAGAGCCCAGACCCACAAAUAAGGUCCCUAAAUUAAGCUAAGUGGAAAAGGAAGUCAAAAUUCAUAAACAACUAGGAUGUUGGCUUAGAAGCAGCCACCAUUUAAAGAGUGCGUAACAGCUCACUAGUCUAGUUUUUUGGCGCCGCAAGUAUAACGGGGCUAAGCUUAAUACCGAAUUUUGGGAUGUUGACAUAGAAUGUCAAACAUGGUAGACAAAUGUUGUAUAGGGAUUGAAGCUUGAGCGUGAGCAUGAGUGGACUCUAUACAAGUAAGAAUUCCGGCGUGAGUAACGAAUGAAAGUGAGAAUCUUUCUAGCCGAUUGAUCAAGGUUUCUGGGGCUAGGUUCGUCCUCCUCAGGUAAGUCGAUCCUAAGUUGAGGCCGAAAGGCGUAGAUGAUGGGCAAUGGGUUAAUAUUCCCAUACUACCUUGAACGUUCGAUGGGUUGACAGAAAAGGUUAAACUGGGAGGGUUAUUGGAUUCCCUUUUAAGAUUUCGAGUACGCUGAGGAUGAAAAUCAACUCAGCAUAAGUGCAAGGAUUGAAUACGAUCUUGGCCAGCAAUGGUCGAGAAAGCCGGACUUAAUCAUAUUCUCCAGAAAAGACUCUAAGAGACAAAGACGUUCAGGGUACUCGUACCGAUAACGAACACACGUGAUCAAGGAGAAUAUCCUAAGGCUAGCGAGCGAACUGCAGUUAAGGAACUCUGCAAAAUGACUCUGUAACUUCGGGAGAAAGAGUGCCCGCAUGGAAUGCGGGUCACAGCAAAGAAUGAGGGCGGACUGUUUAACAAAAACACAGCUAUAUGCAAAAUUCAAACAUGAAGUAUAUGUGGCGACACCUGCCCGGUGCCAGAAGGUCAAAGAAGGAGGUCAGGCUAGCUUGCUAGCUAAAGCUUUUAACUCAAGUCCUGGUGAACGGCGGCC